AAAAUGAAGGAUCUAAGUGAAAUUGAAAAUGAAGAUUUUUCAAAGUUUGCAAAGAAAACGACAGCAAGAGCAAGAACAAGAAGGAGACAGGCUCAGCAACUUACCGGACGACAUCAUCGACCGCGUACUUUACUUUCUGGACGCAGUUUCUGCGGUUCAAACGAGCGUUUUGAGUAAGCGAUUCAUUUACCUUUGGACUUCCCUCCCAGUCCUCAAGUUCCACGACCCUCUCCUUUUCCACUCUUUCGUCGACCACUUCCUCUCCCUCAGAGACGCUUCCACCAACGUCCACGCCCUCAACUUCACGUGCCACGAUGAACUCGAUGAUGAUGGGCAUGUUGUAGAUUCCAUCAUUGACUAUGUUACCCUCACACCCACCAUCUCCACCAGCAUCCAGAUUCUCAGCAUCCUCACUGAAUGCGUCGUAGAGAAGCUUCCUCAACUCUCUAUCUGUCAAUCCCUCACCACCCUCAAGUUUGCAGACAUAUCCACCGAGACCCCAACAACCUUUGAUUUCGUUUCUCUCGAAAGAUUGUGCCUUUUCGAUUGUCGGUUCGAGUGCGGGGAGGAAGAGGAGCUUGAUCUUUUCAGGGGCUGUGUUAGUUUGAGGUGUUUGUUUCUACAUGAUUGUCAGUACUAUGGCAGGUUUAGGAGGUUCAAAAUCUUUGCCCCCCACCUUGUGGACUUCAGCAUCAAGGGAAUGAGAGUGGAUGAAGUGUUUGGUUCUGACUGUGUCGUCGAGCUUUUCGCGGCAAAGCUACAAUCUUUUAGCUACCGUGACACUGAUCUUUAUGAUUUUUUCAUUGAGUUGAAUCUUUCCUUCCUGGAGAGAGUGGAUAUUGCUAUGGACUAUUUGGCCGCAGAUGCUGGUUUUUCUCUUCCAUGACAUUGUAUCCUUAUCGUUUGAAAUCAUUGAACUAUGUUUUCUGAUCUACUGAAUGGUCGGUCUUCCCCUUUCACUAGAGUGCAGACCUUCGGGUUAAACAUGGACAAACCUUCUUCCUCCUAUGUUAUACCUACCAAUGUCAUGGCUUAUUUAUUUGGUGGAUCUCCUGGAUUUGUUUUCUUUGGAUGGGAAGGUAUGGAAAUGGUGCUUAGAGUAAAAUCCAAUUUGAUUGAAGAUGGCUUCCAGCUAACUUCCACAGCUUUACCUUUUAGAGGAUUACGAGAUGUUUUGCUUGUGUCUUAACAAAGAACUUAUGUUUUCUGCAAUGGAGUAUGUGUCAAUGCAAAGAGGAGUUGACUUAUUAUUCUUAAUCUGGGGUCAUAUUUGUUACUAUUGUUUUUUCUUUGGCAAUCUUCUAGGCUCUAGCUGUAAUAGCCUUUCAUGGGAGCUUUUUUUUUUUUGCUCUUAUUUUGUAAAUUGCCUAUUACAUAUGGAAUCUCAAUUAGCUCAAAAUAACAAUACUGUAAGUGGUAAGCAGAAUAGGCUUUAUAACAUUAGAUAUCUCAUGACUGUAAUCUUAGAUUUCUGUGUAAAAUUGGGCAAGCUCAAGAGUUUCAUGAUUACAGCUUAUAGCA